UACGUAGGGGGCAAGCGUUGUCCGGAAUCAUUGGGCGUAAAGAGCGCGUAGGCGGUCCGGUAAGUCCGCUCUGAAAGUCCGGGGCUCAACCCCGGGAGGCGGGCGGAUACUGUCGGGCUAGAGUCCGGAAGAGGCGAGUGGAAUUCCUGGUGUAGCGGGUGAAAAUGCGCAGAUAUCAGGAGGAACACCAAUGGCGAAGGCAGCUCGCUGGGACGGUACUGACGCUGAGGCACGAAAGCGUGGGGAGCAAACAGG
rnacentral:rRNA from 1 species